GUAGUUAUCUCGUUAUGUUUUUCAAUUAUCUUUCAGUUAUUAUCUUUUUAUUUCUCUUUUUGGUUCGUCUAUCAUCAAAGAGAAAUCCGUUGCUACUUGUCCAUCAUCAAUAACGGUAAAAAUAUCAUCUAUAAAUUGGAAAAGUACAGCUAAUUCUAACUAUCAAUCUCUGUUUAGAGUAACCACAUAAAUGAUGCUCUCCUUCAUCCGAUAAGAAGAUAUGACCAGGAAACAAGAUGGGAAGCAGCUGAAGAAAUGUAUGCAACAUGAGAGACCUCCAAGUAAUUACUAAUCAAACUAGGAACCUCCUAUGUUAUUAGACUCAAUUAAGGGUCCUUCAUCCGAUAAGAAGAUAUGACCAGCAAACAAGAUGGGAAGCAGCUGAAGAAACACAUGCCACAUGAGAGACCUCUUAGUAAUUACUAAUCAAACUAGGAACCUCCUAUGUUGUUAGACUCAAUUAAGGGUCGAUUUAUGAUCCCCUACCAUACAACAAUAUGUAUCUUCUAUGAAAGAAAACUAUGAAGUGCUGAGACUUCCUAAUGUGGCAAGAAGCAAGAUAUGCCAAUAUGAGUGAUUUGAACAUCUGCUAUAAUUUGAAAACUGAACCAUUCUGGGAGAGAAAGCAACUAUAUAUAUGGACUGAAUCGGGCAUGAAAAUUGGAGUCACGUGACCUCUCUCAUAUCGACUAGAUGUUGUGGACCCCGCACAUGCAAACUCCACUCAUCAGGUCUGUGAGAAGCAACAUCACCACUGAAACAUUUCCAACUCCACCCAAAUAGAAGACUUCUUCUAAAAUAACGAAGUUAUAUGUCUGAAGCAACACAAGAUCAUCAUGUUUGUUGGUUCGUAAAUACAAAGAAAGAAAUUUUUCAUUAUAGUUAACAGGAGAAUGUUGCUCAAGAAAGAUGUAAACCAAGGUGAAUAACUGUUGAAGCUAAUAAAUGAUGAGAACCUACUAACUGUAGCCGCUUAAACUUUUAGCACAACAAUGAUGUGUACGAAGGUAUAAUAGUGGUCGAAGCUCAUAAAGAAUGAUAUAAAACCUAUUAAUUAUAGAUACAUACAAUGAAGGGCAUAAGACUGUUUGGAUUCUUUAAUUUUAG
rnacentral:lncRNA from 1 species